rnacentral:rRNA from 1 species
GGAAUCAACGCUGGCGGCGUGCCUAACACAUGCAAGUCGAACGAGAAAGUGGAGCAAUCCAUGAGUAAAGUGGCGCACGGGUGAGUAACACGUGACUAACCUACCCUUGAGUGGGGGAUAACCUAGAGAAAUCUGGGCUAAUACCGCAUAAUACCUUCGGGUCAAAGGAGCAAUUCGCUUAAGGAGGGGUCGCGGCCGAUUAGUUAGUUGGCGGGGUAAUGGCCCACCAAGACUGUGAUCGGUA